UAGGUGAGUUCUUAGUUUAGUUAUAGCUUUGGGGAUAAAUUUAAUGAAAUUGGGAGUUAGGAAUUUAUGAUAUAUACCAUGUUUGUUAAAUUGAUGAUUAAUAUAUGAACUUCGUGUUGGUUGUUGUUGAAAAAUCAUGUUAUGUGAAAAUAGUAGGUAAAAAUGGUAUAUGGAAAGGAAAAUAAAAGAGGAGUUAAUUAAGGAAAGAAGUUACUGUGAGAAUUAAUGGAA
rnacentral:lncRNA from 1 species